GAGCAAUAGAAGGCUUGCAAGGGCGGCCGGCUAAACUCCCGGAAGGGAGGUGAUGCCUGUGGAGGUCAAAGAUGCGAUAUCCUUAAUGUUCAUGUUCGGCAUGUUCAUUUUGGCGCUAUUAACUUACCUCAAAAAGAAAUAGGCCGCCCUCUAACCAGGAUCGCGGCCUAUUUCUAUCGGUAGUGCCUGUUUGGAAGCCGCCGCCCUUAAAAGCGGUCAUUGCUCCUGGAGCCGUGUUGACGCACGGCUC
rnacentral:sRNA from 1 species